rnacentral:rRNA from 1 species
CGCCUCUCGACCUAUAUGAGAGGUCCAGCCUGCCCAGUGACUAAGUUCAACGGCCGCGGUAUCCUAACCGUGCGAAGGUAGCGUAAUCACUUGUUCUUUAAAUGAGGACUAGUAUGAAUGGCACCACGAGGGUUACACUGUCUCCUUUUUUUAAUCAAUGAAACUGAUCUUCCCGUGAAGAAGCGGGAAUGUAAAUAUAAGACGAGAAGACCCUAUGGAGCUUUAAACAAUAAUAGCACUGGCCCACACCUUUGAUUCUCCUGAGAGAUAAUUAUUAUUUAGACCAAUAUGACUAUUAGUUUUAGGUUGGGGUGACCGCGGAGCAAACACCAACCUCCACGUUGAAUGGAGCAACUCCUGAGCUAAAAGCUACAACUUUAAGCACCAAUAAACUGACAUUAAUUGACCCAACAUGUUGAACAACGAACCAAGUUACCCUAGGGAUAACAGCGCAAUCCAUUUCAAGAGCCCCUAUCGACAAAUGGGUUUACGACCUCGAUGUUGGAUCAGGGUAUUCCCAUGUGGUGC